rnacentral:misc_RNA from 1 species
GGGACUCUCUUCAAUACAUAUUGGAUAAAAAAUUACUAGACUAGCUUUACAAAAUAGGUUGUAGUCUUCUUUAGAAUAUGCAUGGGAUACUUUUAAAGUUUCGUGUUUAUUAAAAAAGGAAAAAACUUUUUAAUCAUUUUGGUUGGAGAAUUUUAUGCAAAUAUAGCACUUUGUUGGAGUAUGUGAAUGGAUAUGAGUUGUUCAACCAUUUGAUGUCAGCAUAUUUUUGCAAAAUUUAUAUUGCCAUCUUUAUUAAUUUAUAGUUUCUCAAUUAGGGGCCUGUCUUUCUUCAAAGUGAAUAGUCUCUGUUUAUGAUCCUGGAAAUC